UACAGAGGUCCCAAGCGUUGUUCGGAUUCACUGGGCGUAAAGGGUGCGUAGGCGGUCGGGUAAGUCUGACGUGAAAUCCCGCAGCUCAACUGCGGAACUGCGUCGGAUACUAUUCGGCUUGAGGAAUGGAGGGGAGACUGGAAUUCUCGGUGUAGCAGUGAAAUGCGUAGAGAUGUGGAGGAACACCGAUGGCGAAGGCAGCCCCCUGGGCUAACACUGACGCUCAUGCACGAAAGCGUGGGGAGCAAACAGG
rnacentral:rRNA from 1 species